GAUGCCUGAUCUGCCCUCUCCCAGCCACAUAAGGCACAUGGGACUAGUGGUUAGAGCAGGGUCCCAAGAGCCAGGACUGCUGGGUUCCAUUUCUGGCUCCAUCACUGACUCCCUGCGAGACCUUGGACCUGAUUGUCCCAGUCCCUAUCAUGGGUUUAAAUCAGGUUGAUGCGAUAUAUUGUACCCUACAGCUGAAAGGUGCCACGGGAGAGCAAGGAGCUGAAUAACUCAGGUUGUGAGCUCCUUGGGGCAGGGGCUUUGUUGUAUGUUUGUGCAGCCCUAGCACAGUGGGAGCUUGGGCCAUGUCUGGGGCUCCUAGGCACUACCAUAAUACACCUAAUAGAUAAUGUACAGGCCUAGCACUGUGGGUCCUAAGCGCUACCAGAAUAGAAAUCCUAAACACGCAGAGCUGGCACCCCCAUGCUGGCACCCCUGCACUUGAGCCUGUGUCUGACUCUAGCCACCUGCAAUGCUAGUGCUAUAUUCUGGCCCCCUGAAGAACCGGGCAGUGUCCUUUCUGGAUUAGGUCCUGAGCAGGGUCCUUCCUCCCCCAUCCGCUUGGGGGGGUGAUCAGCAGGGCUAGGCAAGUAAGGGGAGUUUCUGGUUUCCUGGUAAUUCUGAAAAGCAGGAAAAAUAUUCAUUUCAGAUGGAACAAAACAAUUUGAUUUGAUCUUGUCUGUUUCUCAACACUUUUUUUAUUAUUUAAUGAAAGGAAAGCUGGAAAUGGCACCUCCCUUUGAACCAAAAAAAUCAAAACAUUUUGUUUUGAAAAGAUGGAAAUGAAAUGGGAUCAUUUUUCCCAACCAAACAAUUUGGUGUGAAUUUGUGAAACUUUUUUUCAGUGUAGUUGAAUCUGCAUUUUUCACUG